CGGCUCGCGCUGCUGCAGUUGUUCGGCACGGCCUGACACAGCUUGCCGGCGCAGGGCAGGGCCGAGUAGGUGGAGGACUUCGAGGGGUCGAAGGGAUGCGCCGGAACCUGGUAAAGCGCACAUACUAUUUGAAUGCGUGAACAUUUUAUUCUAAAUAUUCUUUCAUUAUACAUCCAAAACAGAUAAGAUAUUCGGCUUAUUAAAUUAUUAUUACCAGGUUACUUAUUCUGUUUGCUUAAAAUUUGUUUACUCAAAUAAUAUAUAUAUAUUAUAUAUAGUUCUGAGAUCUGCGAUCGUAACAUGUGAUAAUAGGAGUUCUUGAGAACUCAAAAGAUCUAACAAGUGGUAUCAGAACACGAGUGUCGAAUUUCUAGCGAAUUAAUUCGGAUCGUUUUCUGAACACAACCUUGAGGCACUUGAUGCAGGGUUUGCAUUGGGUCCAGAUGAGGUCGCUGCCGGUGUCUAGUAUCGCCGUAAAGGGCAGCGGCGGCGUGCCGAUGGCUAUGUCCAUGAGGUACUCGCCCUCACCGGGGCUUACCAGAAUGCGGGAUUUCGUCAGCGUGGUAGGGUCGACGCCGCCGCUGGCGGCGGCUUGCACUGCCGAGAGCCACAUCGCACGAGCCUGGCUCCGGCGCACUGUGCGGCGGAGGAGCUCCGGCUUGGUGAAGUUGCGCCCGGCGUCGACGUGGGUUAGCUCAAUGCGCAAGUCCAGAAAAGCUGCAGAUGUGGUGACAAAAAUCAGGAAGCUUAUUAGGACUGAGGAAAGGAGGGAUUGCAUUUUGAAUCGUCUCAUGGUGUUGGUAAUAGGCAUUGCUUGGAAAGUCAACAGGCACUUGUUGUGGGAAGAACGUGUGGGUGUACCCGUGGUAUAUAUUGCAGGGGUGUCAACGAGCCGAACACAAGCGAGUUGGAUCAACUCAUAUUCGGUAACGAGACGAAGACGAACUAACUCGUUAAAGUACCAAAUCAAAAAAUUUAGCUCAUAUUUGGCUUUUUAAACACGAGCUGACUCACGAGCUGACCAAUAAACAAUACGUUAAAUAAAUUAGAUUGGAUAUAUAUAAAAAAUAAAUUAUAAAAUCUUAUAUAUCUGAUUAGACUUUGAUCGAAUUAAUAGUUAAAAUUUACAUUAUAAAUAAUUUUUUUUUAUUUUUAUAAUUAGCUCGACUUUAUAUUAUUUUUGCUAAAAUCAAUGAUAUAUAUAUAUAUAUAUAUAUAUAUAUAAUAAUUUAUAUAUAUAUAAUUAUUAUAUAUAUAUAAAUUAAAUAAAUUUUAUAAAUUUAAAACAUAUGUAUUCGAGCUGUUAUCGAGCCAAACAUCGACGACUAAUCCCAGCUCGUGUUCGGCUCGUCUAUUAGACAAGCUGAAAAAUCUAGCUCGUAUUCGGCUUAUUUACUAAAUGAGCAAUUCGAUUUCGAGUUUAUUUGGAGCCGAACACGAGUUAUCUCGAGAACAACGAGCUGGCAAUAAUAAGGUCUUAACUAUGGGGAAGUCUCUUUGUAAUAUCCACAUCAUAUCAUUUAUAACCUGUAAAUAUAUCUCUCUAGUAAAAAUGUAAGCCUUAUUUGAAUUGAGAGCCUCAUUAAAAUUAUGUUGCAUGGAGGUGUUAGGCGUGCCUUAAAAUUUAGUUAUUAACUUCGAUUUUAUGCCUACAAUUUGUCCAUAAUUUUGUGGUGUGAUAAGUUUUGAAAAACAAAAUUAUGAAGAAAAAAAAUGAUGACUAUGAUGGAGAGCGAAGGGCUCGGGGCGAUAGGCGUGAAUGAGUAACCCACUACUAACAUCAGAUGGGGGUUAUGGAGGGACUUCACAGUACAGAUCGAAUUCGAUAAUGAAAAAUUCGUUAAGAAAUUUUUUCCUUUCUUUUUUAACCUAAAUGCGAUACUAUGUAUUGUACUUAUAAAUUUUGUACUUCAAUUUUCAUAGUAAAGUUUUCUCUUUCUUUGCCGAUAAUUUUUUUUCCUGCAAAAUAGUUUUCAUGUAAAUCUUUAUAUUCCGUUUUAUUUAUUAUUUUGUGAUUUCUCACUACAACAGAAUUAGGUUAUAGGGACAUAUGUUUGGAACUUUUUUUGUCUAAGUGUCCUAUUUAUGUCAAAAUUUUAAAAAAUAUCUACUAAUGCUUAAAUAUAAAGCCGAAUCCAAUAAAAAAUAAAAUGUUACUAUACUCAACCCAUCCAACCCAGCCAGUUUGGCCCGAUUCCAAACAGAAAGGAAAAAAAAAAGAAAAAUCGAUUACCAUCUCCCCUUCUCCCCUCACUCAAUUUACUGAAAUCCUAGACGAAGGGCCCUUCCCUCUCGUCCUCCUCUGCCACCGCAGCCAACGAGGUAGAGUUCCGGCGGUUGCUAGAUGUUUAAAUAAGUGUUGCUAAAUUAGCAGUACUUUUUUAGGUUAUAGCGAUACUCUUUAACUAUCCCUAUAUACCUAGCGAUCCCAUAUAUAGCAAUACUUUUUAAAAGUGUCGGUAAUUUAGCCAGCAGUACUUUUUUUGACCUGUACCGAUAUUUAAAAGUGUCGCUAUAGAUCAUUUUUUUUAUAAUGCCUUUAUUUCACAUAAGUCAUUUUUCGUUUCUAUUUAUGCACUCGCCGUAACAAUCGGAGAAAAAAUUGCCACCUAUCCAUUGUUUUCGUCAGGGGCAAAAUAUUUGACUGUUGUUCUAUAACACAUUACACUUUGAGUAAUUAAUUAUUUUAUAUGACAUCAACACAGAAUAUUUUAAAUUUAAUUUUAUGAUGAGUAAUAAACAUACAAUAUUAAAAUAUUAUUGUUUAACAAUUUAAAAUUUUAAAGUAUAUAUAUAUGUAGUUAGCCUUUUCACAGUUUAUGGACCGAAUUACAUACUAUAUACAAUAUUCAUUAAUUUCAAGAUGUUAACAAGACUCAAUUCAACAAUAAAUAAUACUUCUUUUUCUUUUCUUUUUAUUUUUUCCUCAUUUCAGUAAAAGUUAAUUAAUCCAGUAAAAUUUAAUUUUAGUUGUUUAUUAAUAUUGUAUGCGGGUGCGAGCGCAUACGUUCCGGGGAUGUUAUACAGUGACCCGUCCGCAUAAUUUUGGUCCGUUACCACCGUACGUUGAGGAUUUUGACAUGAUGGAAUGGACGGUUCUCAUUGGUCCUCUAGAUUGUGGUGCCCGUUAAAUAAUGCAAAACAACAGUUCGUUAAAAAGAUUAAACUAUUUAUAAAACUGUAUUUAUAUAUUAUUUUAUAUUCAACACUUUUUCUCAUAUGGACUUAAUUAAAAAAUGCUAAAGAUUUAAUAGACUAACUCAGUAUUUUUUACUCUGAUAUUAUGCUAAAUUAAAUAAAAUAAAAUAAUUAUUGUACUCUAAAAAUGUAUACUUAUAAUGAAUGGUGUUUAAGUAUUUUUAUAUUUAAUACUAUAAUAUCAGGCUCUUAACAUUAUUAAUCUCCUCUCGUUUAAAUCAAAUUCACAUCAUAAGCUGGUCAACAAGUCUCGAGUAUAAAUAUGAAGAUGAGUGUUAAAUAUAAAAAUAUUUAAAAUAUUAGUCUUUUGGUAUUCAAAUUUUAUUAUUCUAGAAUACGAAUCACCAGGUUUAGUUAUCGUUUACUCUUUUAGAAAAGAUUUAUUUGAUUUUGUUUUUUUUAUUUUUAUUUUCUUUGAAUCCGAAUUGAACUAGAAUUUUUGCGGUCAUCAUGAUCGGUUGAGGAUUACAACAUAUUAGACUUUUAUUUUCUUUACUAUUUUUGGAAGGUUUUAUAGAAUGAUUCUACAUAAGGGACUAAGAUUUAUGUAAUUGCAGGUUUUUUGAGUUCAAUAAUAUUCGUGUACUCUCGAAAUAUAUUUUUUUUAUCCAUCUCUCUCCUUGUGCUUCUUCAUCUUUUACACUUUCCAUCAAAACAUGACUCAAUAAAAUCACUCAAGCAUGAUAGAAAAUAUUGAAAAAAAAAAAAAUCCAAACGCAACCUGAUGCGAGCUCAUUUAUGAUUUUUUAAAUUACAUACACUUUUGUAAAUUUGAGGUAAUUGUUGUCAAAACAUAUAUUUUCAAGUUCGAUUCUUUUUAUAAAACAACUAUUGUACUCUAAAAGUUUAAACGACUGGAUCUUAGAACCUUCUGUUCUGAUACCAUAUAAAACGACCGUUGUAUUCUAAAAAUUUAAACUUCGAAAACAAUAUUUAUACAAUUUUAUAUAGUCCUACUAUAUUAAUCUUUAAUAAUAUGACGACACUUUUAAAUGUCGGUACAGAUAAAAAAAAGUGUUGUUAGCUAAAUUACAGACACUUUUAAAAAAUUUUGCUAUAUGUGGGGUCGCUAGGUAUAUAGUGACAGUUUAAGAGUGUCGGUAUAACCUAAAAAAAGUGCUGCUAAUUUACCAAUACUUAUUUAAGCAUUUAACAAGCGCCGAAAUUCUACUUCGUUGACUGCGGUGGCAGAGGAGGAGGAGAGCGAAUGGCUUUUCGUUUAAGAUUUCAGUGGAUUGAGUGAGGGGAGAAGGAGAGAUGUUGAUCGAUUUUUCUUUUUUUUCUUUUUUUGUUUGUAAUCGGGCCGAAUAGGCUGGGUGGGGUGGGUUAAGCAGAUUAGCCUUUUAUUCUUGGUUAAAUUGGGCUUUAUACUUAGGCCUUAAUAGAUUUUUUUUUUAAGUUUUGACAUAAAUGGAAUACUUACAUAAAAGUGUCUCAAACAUGUAUGUGUCCCUAUAAUCUAAUUCUGUUGUAGUGAUGAUACCGGAAUAAAUUCUAAAUUUUUUUUUUGAGAGAUAGGUAGCACACUAUCAUCUUCGUUUAUUUCAUUUAGAAAUAAACUUAGCUAGAAAUGUGAAUCAACUAGGAUUCGAACUUAGGUCUCGGAUACCAACCACCAAGUCCUUUGCCACUUGCUCUAAGGACGGCCGAUAAUUCUAAAUUUUUUCGUUCCAUAAGAUUGUAGGUUUUGAUCUCCACUACGUCAAAUGAAUAUGACUUCACCAUAACUUGUAAUAUUAUUGGCACAUUACACAAAAUGAAUACAUAACAUCCAAUCUAAGUAUAUAUUGUCAUCUUGCAUACAAUUAAAUUUGUGAACAAAAUUUUCUUCUAAGUUUAUAUAUAUAUAUAUAUAUAUAUAUAUAUAGAAUUAGGCUGGAAUACUAUUAAUAGUAAAACGCUAUUUUUGCUAUCAAGUUUUUAACCCUUGGAUGAAAAAUUGUAGGGUCGGGAUGAUAUUAGUCGGUUAGAGUUGAGUGGUCCCCCUAGGGUUGAGUGGUCCCCACUGGGUUAUAGUAUUUAAUCCAAUGGUUUAAAAUAAUAAAAAGAGUUGAUCCAAAGGCUAAAAAAGUGGUAGCAACAAUGGGAUUUUGCUACUAAUAGUAGCCCAGUCCAACUCUAUAUAUAUAUAUAUAUAUUUCAAUUUUAAGUUUUAACGUAUAUCAUUUUUGUUUAAGACCUCUAUAAAUUAACAUUGAAGCACUGCUCUAUUAUGAUUUGCAUGUAGCAGGAUAAAAUUUUAAUGGGGAGCUCUCCCACGACCCUUUGUUGGAGAGCUCCUGAUCUAUUGCCACAUAUCAAUUUUACCUUCAUAUAACGGUUCGUUUACUGUUUUUUAAUACUAAAUUUUUUUUAAAAAAUAAGCUUUUAGGCAGCGUUUGGUUAAGGAAUGGGAAUAGAAAUAGGCCCUUAUCCCUCCCUUUAUACCCAAAUGCUAAUUUUUUAUCCGAGAAUAAUAGUUCUCGAUUAUUCCCACCAACACCUCUAUUUUCUAUAUAAAACUAUCUAAAAUUGUUCAUAUCCUCGGGAACAACCCAAUUUUAUCCAAAUACUAUUUUUUCUAUCCCCAUGCUUGUACCUAUCAUUGUAAUAGCUAGUUAUUGCUUAUACCCGAAUCAAACGGUACCUUAAAGGUUAGGUUUAUAAAUAUUUGAAUAGAGGCAAAACUGUUACGAGACAGCACAUCGAAGGUUUCUCAAGGAGGCUUUAUCGGAAAGCUUUCCACUAUAUAUAUAUAUAUAUAUAUAUAUAUAUAGAGUUGAGCUAGAAUACUCUCAAAAGUACCAAGAGAUUGGUGCUUUUGAGUUUUUAACCCUUGAAUGGAGAGAUGUGAGGUUAAGAUGAUGGUGGUAGGUGGAAUAGUGUUUGAUCCAAGGGUUUUUAGUAUUCUAGGAGUAGAUCCAAUGGCUAAAAACUUAAUAGCAUCAAGGAGAUGAUACUACUAAAAGUAUUCUAGCUCAAUUCUAUAUAUAUAUAUAUAUAUNAGUUCGCAUAAAUAUUAAUUGUGUGGGGUCUAAUCAAAUUCCAAACAAAAUUAAGAUAAGAGUGCCCCAUCACUACCAGUAGUCCCCUUCAAUUCUAUUGCAUCAUUCUUUGUUGAGCACUAGCCCUUCUGGGUACUUUAAUUAUUGUUAUUCGUUGAGUAGUGGUGGAUACAUUAUUUUUGGUUGGUGUUGGGUUAACAUCUUGGAGUAUAAUCUUUGUUAAUGUGCUUCUUCUAAAAACGGGGUUAUUAUAUUAUGUGUUAAAAGUUUAUUUAUUUGAGAGUUUGGAGUUAGAAAAUUUUUGAAAGUUUCAAAUAUUUAGGGUUAUUAUGUUGUUUUUAAUAAUGAGGCAUCUGAGUUGAUGAUAAUUAAUUGAGAGUUAUUUUAGACAUAAUCAAUUAACGACUCGUGAACUUUCAGAGGACUAAAUUUUGUGAUGUUUUAGUAUUAUUUAUUUAUUUUUCAAGUGGUAUCAACAUUAAAAAGUGAUUAGGGUAAAUAUGAGGUGUAUUUGAGACCGCUUAAUCACUUAGUAAACAAUGUGAAAAAAAUCAUAAAAUAUGGUUUCUAACAAGUUCCAAUACCAUAAAUCUUGUUUAACUGUGUCAAUUGUUGAUUCGUAUACUCUAUGAACAAAAAUAAUCAAUUGGAGAUAUUAAAAGCUUGAUGCUUUUAAAAGCAUUCCAACUCAAUUUUGAGCUAUUGAGCUACACUACUUUUAAAAGCAUCAAGAUUUUGAUGCUUUUACGUCGUUUUCGGUGACAAGACAUUCCAAUUAACGAUCGACAAUUGUGACGCCCUAAGUUCUCAGGGGAUCAUCCAUCCUAGGACUAUUCUCGUUCUAACACGCUUAACUCUCUUAAUCUUUUGGGUUUUACCACUACCCAAAAUGCUUAAGCCUGAUUAAAAUCGUUUAGCCCUAUUAUAUCUUAUAUAUAGGACUAUCUGGUGUCUCACAAUCUUUUCCCCUUUAAGCCCUGACGUCUUCGUCAGACUUAGACUCACAAGUAUCAGGCGAUAUGAGGCUAGCCUCUCUGAGUCAGUCGAGACUAAUCUCACACUUUCUGCUGAUAAUUGGCUCUGAUACCAACUAUGAUGCCCCAAGUUCCUAGGAGGUCACCCAUUCUAAAACUACUCCCUUCCUAACACGCUUAACUUUCUUAACCUCUUGGGACUUGCCACCACCUAAAAUGUUUAAACCGGAUUAAGAGUUUAACCUUAUUAUAUCUUAUAUAUAGCACUAUUUGGGGUUUCACAAUAAUAUUACAUAAUCUAUGGCUCGCAAUUUUUUUAAUAUUAUUUAUCUAUUAUUCAGAUAGUCUCAAAAUAAAUAAAUUUUGAUGAAAAAAUAAAAUAAUUUAAGACUAUUUGAUCAUUGCAUAAAUAAUAUAUUAAAAAACUAUAAAAUUUAAUUUCUACAAAGCUCAAAGACCCUAGAUCGUGUGUAAUGACGUAGAUUGUUAAUUUGAAUGCUGCAUCAUCGAAAAUGGUGCGAUCUUUUUUCAUAUCCUAUAUAUCCAGAUGCCUUAUCAUUGCACUACUCGCGAGUUAGCGAUAAGAAAUGUAGCUUCCAUUCAUCAUUAAUUAUCCACUUGAGUGGAAGGAUUUAGGGCAAAAAGGAAUUAAUUGCAUCUUUUGGUGGGGAUGUAGCCCUAAUUAUGUUGAGGCCUAGGAUGCGAGGACAAUUUUGUUAAUCCCAAUUUAUGAAUGUGCUCGCUGGGUCCUUCAUUUCAUCAUUUUAUGCUUUUAGCACCUGCUUGGAUUAAUUUUUGUAGCUUUUAAUUCGAAAUUUGUUUUUGAUGGACCUAAUUCCCAUAGAUCAAAAGUUGCUCUGAUGGUUUAUAUCUUUGGUUAUAUUAUUCCUCUAAUUUAUAUUCUCAUGGUUAAUUAUAUUCUCAUUAUUCUUUUUUAUAUGCAUGCCAUAUCUAAUGUCACCUUUUGUUCUUAUCCCCUAAAGGUUGUAGAUUAUAUGCAGUUAUGCUCUUUUCUUUCACAUGUAAUUUAUAACUAAUUAUUUACGCUUACCUAUAAAAUCAACUACUUAUUUAUAUACUUCUACAUGUAUAUAUAUCAAAAUUUAUGUACUUGAAAUUUCUGUAUUUUUACAUAUCUAUGUAAGUACUUUUUAGUAGGUGCUCUCGUAUAUUGCUUUACAAAAUUUUAUGGGCACAUCUUAAGAAAGGUGGGUCCAUUUGUNAUGUAUAAUUGGCUUAAGUUGGCUCGAAUAGCAUGUUACUUAAAAGAUUAUUUAAUAAGAAAUCGAUUAAGAACAUACAAAAUAGACCCACCUUUAUGUACUUGAAAUUUCUGUAUUUUUACAUAUCUAUGUAAGUACUUUUUAGUAGGUGCUUUUGUCAAUUGCUUUACAAAAUUUUAUGGGCACAUCUUAAGAAAGGUGGGUCCAUUUGUAAUGUUCUUAAUCUAUUUCUUGUUAGAUUAAUCUCUUAAGUAACAUGCUAUUCGAGCCAACUUAAGCCAAUUAUGUUUUGUGACUAGUCCAUUAAUUGAUUGAUCUCAUCCUUUCAUUUUUACCUAGUUGCAAAUUAAUUCAAUUUAUACAAGCAAUUGACAAACAAAUAGCACCACCAAUGUGUGCUCUAACCAUUUUUCUCAUGUGUCCAACAAUUUCUAUCUAGCUAGUAGAGAAAUCAUAUAACUUCAUCUAUUUGUUUUGGCAAUUAUACGCCUCUCAAUCCCCCUAAAACUUAUCAACACUACAAAAAAAAAAAUCAAACCUUAAGAUGCAUGCCAUCCAUCGUCUUCUUCUUUCUAUUUCCCCUUCUUUCACUCAGAAUGGACCUUUUGCGCGCAGACGCCGACCGCAACUUCAAUAAGCUCGAUCUCCUUCACCGCGCCUUUGUCUAGAGAAAGGCGCUAGUUGCCAGCUAUUUUCGUCGGUGCCCAAACUUAUCUGAACUCAGUGCAACCCCCGCAUCAAGUGCUCCUCCAGUUUCUCUAUAUCCUUCUCUGCUCCGUUGAGUCGUGUCGAGAACUUCUCGGUGCAUGUGGUGAAAAUCUAUGCAUUGUCAUUUAUAACUACGCUAGUGCGAAAACCCGAGGCCCUCUCUCGCUCAGGAGACCUUCACGUUCGGGUCGAUUAACAAAGUUAGUGUUUCUAACAUAAUCUUCGGCAUUAUCGGCAUUGACUGCGGAAGUUCAUCUCUUGUAUCUUAGCUAGCAAUCCACAGAUUCUCCUACUGCCUCGCUCCCAACAACGAGUCCACGAAAAGCGCAUUCGUAUUCGGCUCACUUGUCGAAAUAACCCAAAGUGUUGCUAGUUUGUAUUUCAGUACGUAAUAUUUUGAGCAUUCUGGUCUCAGCAUUUGUUAGCAAUCUCUAGAUUCUGGUUUCAGCAUUUGUUAGCAUUCUGGUUUUAGUACAUAACAUUCUGGGCAUUUUGGUUUCAGCAUUUGUUUUUAUAAUUCUUAACAGAGAUACUUUGCCGCUUAUGAGAUGAGACGGAGAGAAAUGACAAUGCAGAGCAAAGUUCUACGGAUACAUCAGGCGCGGACAAUAAUUUCUUCAAUAGCUUUUCCAACCAGUCGAGUACUGAAAUUAAAAUUUGAAAAGGCUAAAUAAUCCAAUAAAAGAAAGUCAGGUGUCUUUUUGCAAAGUAAGUUUGGGCUGGGCUUGGUAUCCACAAUACAAAUUUAAGCUACAGCCCAGCUUUGAAAUUUGGGCCCAAAACUAUUUUGAGCCCAUUCGGGCUUUUCCCAAAUCCAGCCCAAGUCCAUCAUAAAGUCUAGAGAAACUCCGUUUGAGUUUGUAUGUGCGUGUAUGUAUUUUUGUGUGUGCUUCUGGAAGGGUUGACCGCACGCAAAUGGGUCCGUGUUGAAGGAGCUACCACUCCGAUCUGCUCGAAAUGUGAUAGUCAUUGAAAACCAAAAAUAUAUAAAAAAUAUAUAUAUAUAAUCUGUUCUGAAUCUGUUCUGAUCUGUUAAGUAAAUAGAGCGGAACGCGAGAGACUCUUUUUUCAUAUCCGUUCCAAUCUGUCAAUAACUUGCUCGCGCCCUAAUCCGCUUCUGGAUACACCUUGUUUGACACGUGUAUAUUAUUCUAUGCUAUGCUGAUAUAUUAUUUAAUGGCCAAUUUGCAUAAAAAUUUCAUAAAUUUUGAGCUUUUGCAAAACUGGACCGUCUUUUUCGAUUUUACAAAUUCGAUCCGAAUUUUCAGCAAACUAACCAAAAUACCCUUACUGUCUUUUCUCUCUCCUCUUUCUCUCUCCUUUUUUUUUUCCUCUCAUUUAUUUUUUUUUCUCUCGCCGAAGAAGGCAGCGGAGGCAGAGACGGAGGCGGAAAUCGCCCGCCUCGCCUCCCACCCUCAUGCUUUCGCCCUCGCCCUCGCUCUCGCCCGCACACCCCCCGUCUUUCUUGCCUCCGACCCCACCGAGGCCGCGCCGUGACUCUUUUUUUUUUUUUCUCUCUCCAACUCUCCUCCACCGUCUUCAACGACGAGGCCUCUCUCACCCUCUCUCGCCCUUCUCCGCCCUUCUCGUCCUCUCCCUCUCCCUCAUCCGCCGCCUCCGAUAACGACGCAUCUUCGCCGACACCGAUGCCGCAGAGGUCUCUGCAGUGCCGCAGCCUUGGAGUGGAGGUUCUUAGCGGCGUCGUCGCCGGCGCCAUGGCCGUUGGCUUAGAAAGGUGACUAAAAAAAUUUGUAGAAAAAGAAAGAAGAAAAAAAUAAAGACAAAAAAUUAUAGAAAAAGAAAGAUGAAGAUGAAAUUGCACCAUUAAAAUAAAAUUACACUAUUUUAAAAGAACGUUGCACUAUUAUCGACAUAAGUUACACUACUUAAAAUGUAAACUGUAUCCUUUAAGAUAAAAGUUAUAUUCUUUAAACGAAAGUUGCAAUCUUUGAGAGAUAUUUACACUGUUUCUCCUCUUCUUGCACUCUUUGAGAUAUAAACUGCACCCCUUUAAGGGAUAUUUAUACUGUUUCUCCUCUUGUUGCAUUAUUUCUCUUGUUGCUCUAUUUCUCCUCUUAUUAUACGAUUUCUCCUCUUAAAGGGUGUGGUUUAAAAGGAGAAACAGUUUUCUCUGUUAGAACUAGGGAUUUUCUUUUCUACUCGAAUCAAAAUUAUUGUUUAAAUAAAUUUCUAAAUACCAUAAAUUACUAUCUUUGCCCAAAAUUUUAUUCCCAGUUCUUUGCAACUAAUAAUGAAAUCUUAUUGACUUUAGGAUGUAGCUUAACUUUUUCGUCUUGUAAUAAGCUGAAUUUUGGUUGCCUCUUUUCUAUCUUUUUUCUUGCACUUACUAGGUUUAGGUUGAUGAGGAUCCAGCUGAAGUUAAGGAGGGGAGUGAUGAUUAUAAAGUUGAGGUAACUGUUCUGUCAUUUGACAUACUUUUUUUUGACUUAUUCUGGUUUUUAUUAUGGUAAAUGGGAAAUUAGCAAUUCCUUGUAACAAAUUAUUUUUUUGUGCUUAUACAUAAUCUUGAUGCAGAACAUAAAGAAGACUAAAAAGGUUAUAGAGAGGUACUGGGACUGAAACUCAUAAAUGAGACGCAACCUAUUUGGGUAAUGAUUAAUCAACUAAUCCAAUCAUAAAAUACAAUCAAAGUCCUCUCUAAAGAUUUUGAAGGGUCCCCGAGAGAUGUGAAAUCUCUGUCAUAUCUGAAAUUAGAACAUAUCACAAUAAUUCCAAACCAUAAUUCUGUCUGCCGUGAACGAACCGGCCUCGCCGUAGGUUGUUUUUAGGGCGAGUGGUCAUUCAUGGUAGAUAUUAGAUUUGUUUAAGUUUUCUUUUGGAAUCAGGAUUAUAGGUUCAUGGCUUCCAACAAACUCAAGAGUCUGCUGUUAAUUACCCCACACUUUCGGUAUUAAGGAACUCUCGAUUAAGAGACCAAAUAUAAAUGCUGAUAAUAAAUGAGACAAAACAGGCAAAUGAAAUUUUAUUGAUAUGAUUUGCCGUGUACAUGACUUAAGCUGGGGCAUACCCCCACUAUAUAUGAAUUUCAUAAAAUGACAUGGCGUUCGAUUGAAGUUUUGAUGCUCAGUUUAAUGACAUGGAGGUCGAGUUCACCUUGGUUAUAUAUUCCAAGGUGGAGAUAUGACCAAACCCCAAGUAUAUGUAUUGAGGUAGAUCAGAUUUGAUAUUACCCGAAAGUAGAAGGUGGCUAAUUCCUGGGUGUAUGGAUCAGGAUUAACCGAGUUUAAUAUGUUUUCACUCUAGUUAUAUAUUCUAGAGUGAAGAUCUGACUAAUCCCUAAGUAUAUGUAUUAGGGGUAGUCGGAUUUGAUUUGUAUGAGCUCCAAGUAUAUAUAUUAGAACUCAAUUGGGUAUGGAUUUUACUCUAGGUAGAUGUGCUAGAGCAAAAAGGCUGAUUAGACCCUAAGUAUAUGGGUUAGAACUAGUCGGGUAUGGUUUAACUUUCACUCUAGGUAUAUGUGCUAGAGCAAAAGGCUGACUAAGUCCUAAGUAUAUAUGUUAGGGUUAGCCGACCAUGGUUUGACUUCUACUCUAUGUAUAUAUGCUAGAGCAAAAGGCUGACUAGACCCUAAGUAUAUGUGUUAGGAUUAGUCGGAUGAACUCUAAGUAUAUAUGUUAGAGUUCGAAUAAAUUUGAUAUAAUUUGACUGAAUUCUAAGUAUAUGGCUUAUAACUCUGUCGAUUUGGAGAUGUUUUGCCUUAGUUAUAUGUGCUAAGGCGAUCGACUUAGCCCUAAAUAUAUGUAUUAGGGGUAGUCGAUAUUUAAUUUUCAUUCUAGGUAUAUGUGCUAGAGUAGAAAAGGUUCAUGAUGACUUGGGUUUAGUUUAACGACGUUUCGGUCGUUUGAAUUUGGGUUUAGUUUAACGACGUUUCGGUCGUUUGAAUUUGAGUUUAGUUUAACGAUGUUUCGGUCGUUUGAAUUUGGGUUUAGUUUAACGAUAUUUCGGUCGUUUGAAUUUGAGUUUAGUUUAACGACUUUGCGGUCGUUUGAAUUCGGGUUUAGUUUAGCGACGUUUCGGUCGUUUGAAUUUGGGUUUAGUUUAACGACAUUUCAGUCGUCUGAAUUUGGGUUUAGUUUAGCGACGUUCCGAUCGUCUGAAAUUUAGAUGAAAUUAAUUCAUGGUAGGGGCCAUUUAGAGAGCCCAUUGAAUAAAAUUAAUGUAUGAUAAUGAGCUAUUUGGAAGGCCUAUUAGUUCAUGAAAUUAAUUUAUGACAAGGAGGGCCCAUGAAAUUAAUUCAUAUAAUUAAUUCAUGAGAAAGAGGUCCAAUUGGAAAGUUCAAGAAAUUAAUUCAUAGGAUUAAUUCAUACAAAGGGGUUCGUUUGGAAACCCAUUAAUUCAUGGAAUUAAUUCAUAAUAAGGGGCCCAUUUAGAAAGCCUAAGAACUUGGUUUGGGUUGGAGGUAUUUGGAUGACAUAGGUUUAGUAAAUUUCGUUGGGUUUCAUUUGUGGACUUUGAAUUUUGGAUCUCAUUUGUAGACUUUAGGUUUUGGAAUUUUAUUUGUGAAUUUUAGAAUUUUUGGGAUUUUAUUUGUGGACUUUGAAAUUUUUGGGAUUUUAUUUGUGGACUUUUGGAUUUUUGGGAUUUCAUUUCUGGACUUUGGAAUUUUUGGGAUUUUAUUUGUGAGCUUUAGGAUUUUUGGGAUUUUAUUUGUGGACUUUUGGAUUUUGGGAUUUUGUUUGUGGACUUUGGGUUUUGGGAUUUUGCUUGUGAAUUUUGAGUUUUGGAUUAAGAAAUGAAUUUUUAUUUGUUUUGGGCCCACAUCUACAUGUGGGUUGAGAUAUGCUGCAGGCUUUACAUGUUCUGGGCCCGAAUCUGUAUGUGGGCUGGAUUUUUAUUGAUUUUGAAUUUAAAUCUGCACAUGGGCUGGAUUUCGGGCUUUACAUGUUUUGGGCCUUGGACCCGAAUCUACAUGUGAACUGAAAUCAGUCUUGGACUUUACCUGGUCUGGGCCCAAAUCUGCAUGUGGGCUGAGACGAGUUUCGGGCUUUAAUGCUUUGGACCUUAGACCCGAAUAUGUACGUGGGCUGGAUUUCGGGCUCUACAGGUUGUGGGCCCGAAUUUGCAUGUGGGUUUGAUUCUUUUUUUUUUUUUUUUUUACUGGCUUAUAGAGUUUCUCAUUUGGCCAAUGAUUAAGUGAUGAAUUGGACCAUUUUUAAAAUUAAAUAGCCCAAUCUAUUCUCCUCAACAACUCUUUUGUUUUUGUAUUUUAUUUUUUUUUAUUUCUUUUCUUCUUUCUUUCUUUUUUUUUUGCUGAUUGUGAAGAGAAGGAAAUCCAACUCUUUUUUUCUUUCAUUUUUUUUCUUCUUUUCUUUCUUUUUCCCCUUUUUUUUUUUUUUGCUGUACGUGAGAAGAGGAAAUCCAACUUUUUUUUUCUUUUCUUUUCUUUUGUUUUCUCUCUUUCUUUUUUCUUUUUUCUUUUUUUUUUUUGAUGACCAGGAGAGAGAGAGCCUCUCUCUUUUUUGUAUAUUUAUUUUCUUUCUCCUUUCUUUUCUUCUUUUCUUUUUUUUCUUUUUUUUCUUUUUUUUUUUUUUUUUCGUUUGACUGCUCAGAGGGGAAGUUGGAAACUCAACUUUUUCUUUUCUUUUUUUUUUUCGUCUUUGUUGCAUUUUUUUUCUGUCUUUUUUUUUUUUUUUUUUUUUUUUUUUUUUUUAACUAGAAGAGAGGAGUGUAGACUUGGUUGUAGUUGCAACCCAAACUCUCUCUCUCUCUCUCUCUCUCUGUACAGAACCGAGAAAGAGAGAGAGAGAGGGAGGUUGCUCUUCCUCUUUUUUUUCUUUUUCUGUUUAUUUAUUUAUUUAUUUUUUUUGUCCAAAUAAACGAAGUUGAUUAUGGUCGAGCCAUACAAUCGGAUCGAACAAAGAUGAACGAAUAGAAACGGAACCUGUUCGUUUUUUUUUAUUAUUAUCAUUUAUUUUAUCACGUUUUGUUCAAGUGCGCGGGGUUUAAUCGUGUCGAACCUAUCACGAAGAUGGCUGCUCGAUUAAUCGUUUUGACCAUGUCGAGCUGAUCGCGAAGAUGGCCGCACUAUUUUCGUAGCAAAAUAUUCGAUGUUCGAUCAACAAUUUCGAUCAUGUCGAGCCUAUCGCGAAGAUGGCCACACGAUUUUCGUAGCAAAAUAUCCGAUGUUCGAUCAAUAAUUUCGACCAUGUCGAGCCUAUCGCGAAGAUGGCCGCACGGUUUAGAUAAUAAAAUAUCCGGUACUUGUUCGACCAUAUCGAGCCUAUCACGAAGAUGGCCGCACGGUUUAGAGAUAGCGAUGCAUACGUAAGGCGGAAGCGACGAUUUGAUAUCAAAUUUGAUUGGUUCGAAACCUAUCACGAAGAUGGUCGGACUGAUCAAACCAACAAAAAUCGCACUUAUGCCUUUCAUAUGCAUGCACAUCUCUUAUUAUCGUAAAAAUCAUCGUGAUUAUCGUUGUCGCCGAAGUCCCUUUUUUUUAUGGUACUUGCACACGAGAGAGAGAGAAAGAGAGAGAGAGAGAGGAGAGGGUAAAAACCUUUUNGAGAGGAAGGAGAGGAUAAAAACUUCUUUUUUGUUUCUCACCUUUUUUCUUUCUUCUUCUUCGUUCUUUUUUUUUUCUGCUUUGGUUCUAUUUCGGAUCUCUCUCCUCUUCUUUUUUUUUUUUUUUUUUUUGUAAGAAGCUUUAUAAUAAGCUUCUAAUGACCCUGUUUAUUUUUGAAAGUCAUUCAAAAAAAAUAUUCAAAAAGGAACAGUACCUUCAUAUAUGGAUUUUUUUUUUUUUACCUCUUGUUUUUAUGAAUUCUUUCUUUCCUUUCUUUUUUUUCUCAAAAGGGGAAAUGGGAUAUUUUUUUUUAUAACUUUUACAUCUUUCCUUUUUUUUUUAUUUCUUCCCCUUUUAUUAUUAUUAUUUUUUUCAUUUUUUUUUUUUACUCAAACAAAUUCAAUCAAAGCUAACCAACCAAAUUAGCCCUAAGUACUUUUUAAUUAAACGUGGACGAUCCAUGUUAAAGGUAACUGAAAGUAUGCAGACAUAAUUACAGAUUCAAUUCAAUAUUGCAUCACCUAUUCAUUUGUUAUGUCUUUAACUACCAUUGUAUUCAUAUAUUGGUGUGAACUUGCUGCUUCAGUUUUUCCUUUCUGGUUAAUUUGUUGACUCUUUAAAUAGUUAUCUAGCCAUAUACUGGUGCGCUGAGUUGAUAAAUUGACAAAUGUGUUAGAUAUAUUGUUAUUGGAUAUACUGUUAUGUAUAAUCUAAAUAAUAUGUUCAUAUUGAAUAUUUUGUUAUAAUAUAAUCCAAAUAAUAUGUUCACAUACAAGCCCAAUAGGUGAAAACGUAUUAAAGCCCAUAUUAACUGGAGCCCAAACCCUACGCUGGAGGUAAUACUGUUGAGCGUUCCAAACUUGACGUCUCUUGGUGUAAUACUUUAAGCACCCGAAAAUCCAUCUAUUCUCUAAAACGAUAACCUCCAACAAAAUGUACAUUGUAGAUCAAGAUUCAGUUCCUUUGUGCGCUGUUGAGGGUUGUGCGGCACUUGAAAAGCUGUUAGAGCCCCAGGAUUGUGUUGCCCAUAUCCUUCCUGUAAUUGUCUACUUCUCAUAGAUAUGCUGGGUGGCCUCCAUGAGUAGUACAAUCAAUUUUGAUUUUUGAGAGACACGUCUCUGCCCAUACAUGACGAUGCAAUUGUAAUUUAUCUACUAAUUUUUCUACUAAUAUAAAUAUUCUAUGCAUAAUUUGAAUUGCAGCUGAGAGUGAGAUUGCCCUGCUUACAGAAGAAGCUCAGAGGGCAACCUCUGCUUUACGUAUUGAUCUUGAGAAAGGUAGUCAUUAUUUGUCGUUACAGAUGUCUUUUUUUAUUAAAUAACAAAAAAAAUUGAAGGUAAAGAUGCUAGAUAAUUGUUUGGUCUUUAUUAAACUCUGUUGAAAUUUUAAUUUAGAAUCAUUAAUUGGUACAAUAUUGAUAUUUCAGACUGAUACAUAUGUUUUACUCUUUAUCGAGAUGUAUCUACUAAGGUAAUUGUGAGACUUGAAACUCUUAGGAGUUGGAGGCAAGACCUAUUUGUUGUCGAAUAGAUUAAUAAUGUGAAAGAUUACGAGUAUUGAAGAAGCAGGUUAAUUUUUUUAAUUGAUAUACGUCUUAAUUAUAAGAUACUGUUGGUUGUAAACGACUUCUAAUCCUUUUGUUCGUAAAUACUAAUUUAUUAGAAUUAUAAUUCUGAAUACUUUUGAAUGGAACGACGGAUUUGGAUUGUCCCUUAUGUAGAUUUAUUUAUAUGAAGCUUUAAGGGGGCGUUUGGAUUGACGAAUUUGUAGAUUCAACGUAAGUCAAGUGUAGUGGUGUUUGAGUUUUCCUGAAGUGUGAUUAUUUUUCUGUUGUUUGUUUUGACGUAACUCGUACCACUGAAAGUUAAAUUCAAUCACUUCUGCUGUUUGUUUUGAUGUAACUUGGUGCUGGUAAAAUUAGUUUUUUGAGUUCCGUUGUUUGUUUUGAUGUAAGGUAUGGAUCCCAUUAUCUCCUAAAUAUAGUAAUAAAUUUAUCACUAUAAAAUUUAACCUAUUAUAUAAUUAAAUUUUUUAUUAUUAUUUAAAGAUAAUCUUAAUUUAUUAUAAAUAAGGUAAUUCUAACCCAUUAUAAAGAAAGUAGAGUUUAGAUUUUACUGUUUAAUAAAUUGUUUAGAGAAGGUUGAGUGUGGUGGAAGUCGAGUUCGGUACUUUAGAGCCGGAAGUCGAGAGUAGGUGAAGUGGAGCUCUAACGUAACUUGAGUUACAUUAUAUUUUUCACUUACACCAAAACAAAUAACGAAAGUGAUGGAACUUGAGUUCCAUCACUCCACUUACACCAAAACAAACGGGCCCUGCUUUAAGUAGCUUCGAUAUGAAGCCUUUUUGUGUUCUGUAUGCAUAGCAUGCUGAUUAAAGCUUUCAUAUGAUAUGUUUGUCGUAACUUUUUGCUUACAAAAUUUCUCCCAUAACAUGCUCUAUUAAUUAUUGGCGAAUUUGCAAUGGAUGCCUUUUUUUAUUUUCACUUCUCGAACACCGUGGAGUAAUAUACUUAAUUUCUUUAGUUAUCUUAUUAAAUUUUAUGUAAUAUACUACUUGGCAGUAUUUCUUACUUUCUCCUACAACGACUGUUUGCCAAUAGAAUUAAUUUGUAGAUAGUAUGAAUCAUUUAGGUAAGUAAAAAUCUUUGUUGCAUUAUUUAUGGCAUGUCUGUGUCCUACAACUUGCUGGUAAUUUAUUAUUUUUUAAUUCUACUUUUCUCUUUCUGCCAUUUACUUCUGAUGUUUUCUUAUAAUAGAUUUUAUAUUAUCACCAUAUAACUAUACAUACAUAGAAAAUGAUAUUAGUUGAAUGGAUAUUAUUAGGAUUUUGUUACUAUGGUUGGAACUUCUGUUUUAGCUAAAGGAAUGCAAAACUGAUUCCUACACCCGCUCGCACACCCGGCCCCACUUAUGAACCUCGGACGCAUCUGCCCAUACCCUGCCCGUGCCCCCUGCUCGCAUGCUACAUCCACGCCCAGCACCUGCCCGCACCCGUCCCUCUGCCUCACUACCACCUAUCUCAAAAAUGUGGGCCCCACCGAAGCUCUCGGUUAAGGAGAGGCCUGCCGUAUCGUUUUUGUUCCCCCAAUUUAUAGUUAUAGAUAAAUGAGUUCAUAUUUAGUUUUUAAUUAUUGUAAAAAUAAUUUGUUUUAUAUUAACUUUUAUUCAUAAUAUUUAUGCUGGAUUUUUAUUCUACUAUAUUGUAUGCAAAUUUAUUUUAAAAUUUUUAUGCAUCAUAUUAUCUUUAUUUUAUAUCCAUUUUUAGUAUAUUUUUAUUUCGUAUAUUGUAUGUUUUCAUAUGUUUUGAAAAUUAUACGUAUCUAAAAAAAUUGUGAAAAACUACCGUCAUUUCCUGCAUACAAANCAGAUUUAAUUACCUACGAAGGCUAAAAAAAAAAAUUGAAAACCUGGUCCAACUUCAAUUCAGAGGAAAAAUCCAAAGGGGAAAAAUAAGCAGCUACCAUCAAUUAGAGCCCUAAUAUAUAUACCAACCCGGAGCAGAUUUGCAAAAAAGUCUGAUUUUCCACGGCAAAUGGCUAUGUAAUAUAAAUCACAUCAAACAGUUUUUUGUAUGCAGGAAAUGACGGUAGUUUUUCACAAUUUUUUUAGAUACGUAUAAUUUUCAAAACAUAUGAAAACAUACAAUAUACGAAAUAAAAAUAUACUAAAAAUGGAUAUAAAAUAAAGAUAAUAUUUAUGCUGGAUUUUUAUUCUACUAUAUUGUAUGCAAAUUUAUUUUAAAAUUUUUAUGCAUCAUAUUAUCUUUAUUUUAUAUCCAUUUUUAGUAUAUUUUUAUUUCGUAUAUUGUAUGUUUUCAUAUGUUUUGAAAAUUAUACGUAUCUAAAAAAAUUGUGAAAAACUACCGUCAUUUCCUGCAUACAAAAAACUGUUUGAUGUGAUUUAUAUUACAUAGCCAUUUGCCGUGGAAAAUCAGACUUUUUUGCAAAUCUGCUCCGGGUUGGUAUAUAUAUUAGGGCUCUAAUUGAUGGUAGCUGCUUAUUUUUCCCCUUUGGAUUUUUCCUCUGAAUUGAAGUUGGACCAGGUUUUCAAUUUUUUUUUUUAGCCUUCGUAGGUAAUUAAAUCUGUGGGUUUUUUUUUUUUUUUUUUGGUUGUAAAGUGUAAACUUAUACUAAUCAGUGCUUUUUUAUGUCUUCGAAUUUUCUUGAAGUUUUACUAAAUUAAGCUUGAUGUCGAAUAUAGAACGCCGGCUUUUUUGAAGAUCAGGCUUUUUGGGUUUGGGUGUGUUCUACUACUUGCGCAAAGUACGGCAAUGAUUUAUACCGCAUAGCCAUUUGGCAUGUAAAUGUAGACUUUUUUGCAAAUCUGCUCCGGGUUUACAAUUGCUAUAAAUACUUCUACGUACCUCUUAUUCUUAUUUUUUGUGACUUUGCUCUAAUACAGUUGAUGCUGUUAUUAAAUUACCAGGAGCGUGUAAAACUCCUGAAGAUAUUGAUGAGUUCUCAAAAAAUUUUAUAUUACAUAUGAUUAUGCAUUUUUACUUCAUAUCUUUGGAUAGGAUUCAGAAUUAUUAUUAUUUUAUUAUUACUAUAAUUAUUAUUAUCUUUAUCUUUAUAAACAGAAUCCUAAAGAAAGUCUCUCUUUAUUUUAGGGGUUGUGGGGCCCAUAUGUGAACUUUACUAUUUUUUAUUUUGAUCCUUAAGCUUUUUUUUGCAAUCAAAUUUUUAAUAUCUUUAUAUUUUUAAACGUGAAUGGUGAACCUUAAAGGUGUCCCUUUAUUUUAAGGGUUGUGUUCCAAUCUUUUUAUUAUUUUUUAUUUUAUUUCUUAAUUUUUUUUACAAUAAAAUUUUAAAAUUAUAAUAAUUUACCGUGAUAAUAUCUUUCCGCCGCAUCGCGCGGGUCCCAUAACUAGUUUAUAAAUAUACUACACUUUCCAACCUUCUACACCCUUUUGCAUUCUUAUCGUUGACCCAAGAGCUAAUAUCUUGAACUCACCAAUUCUCUUGGUUUAUGUGACCAAUUCUCUUGGUUUAUGUGAGUAGCAUGCAUGCACCUUACGAGAACAUGUGAACUUAAUAGUAUUUUCACCACUUUUUGGACUUAGCUUAUAUGUGUGAGAAUCCCUUUAUUUUUAAUUAAGAGAAAGUUAUUUCUUGUUCUCCAUUGUUCUUGUUCUUCUUCUCUAGUUUGGUAUGAUCUUGGGCUAGUGGUAUUCUUGAUCCACUAUUUGAAGUAGUGGGUUUCCAAUCGACGGAUCUCGCUAUUUCGUUACAGAGAGAUUGUUCCCAAAGCAUCAUCAACUGUUUUGUCUUGUAGAUUGCUAGUCGAGGGGCCGACUGGGCCUUUCGGAAGAUCAUACCAUUCCUGAUCUCCCAAGUGACCCACCAAGAGGCUACUAAUCCGAUUAACCAAAUACUCAUUAACCGUGCUCCAUACCCACCCAUCCAUCUAUCGCAUACCUAGUGCACAUCGUUUCCCACUUCUCUAGGCUGUACCGUUGCCUAGGUCAUCACCAAUAGAAAUCUAGAAAAAACACAUCAUGUGAAUAAAUGAUCUAAAGUUUCCACUUCAGAUCCAUACAACACAUAGUUUGUGCUGCCAGUCUAACCUCUCUUAAUAAAGUUAUUACCUGUAAGGAGCCUCUUCUUAAAGACGAGCCAGCAAAACACUUUCACUUUUAGUGGAGUUCGAAGUCUCCAAAUCUUGCUCACUCGGACGUCCCUUGUGCCCCCGUCGCUCAGCGCUGAGUAGGCGGAUUUCACUGUGAACCGCAUGUCAGGGUUCCAUCUUCAAUGCACACUAUUUGGUCUCUACUCAAUUUUGAAGUCGGAUAUCUUUAUUGAUUAAAUAUUAUUAAUGUAUUUUAAUGCUUGAUUAUAGUGUUUGAUUAGUUGUCCAUGACCAAUCCUAAGUCGAACAGAAGAGAAGAAAUUUUUUUUUCCAUAAUGUAAGACUAUAUAUUUGGUUCUAUAUAUAUAGCGAUAACUUAUAAUUGGUUUAUCUUUUCAAAGUUUAACUUCUAUAAAAUUUUUAGAGUAUCGAAUUAAAGUUUGAAAAGUUAAACCACUAAUUUAUUAUAAAAUACGUAUAAAGUUGAUUUUAUCAACAAGAUUUUCAAGUGCAUCUUGAUAUAUACAGAUACGAUUACUUCUACUCUGUAUGGAUGAAGUGAAAAAGAGAGAAAAAACUCUGUAUCGAUGCAGUGAAAAAGAGAGAAAAAAAAAGACAGUUAGGAAAGAAAAAUAAUUUUCUCACGUUUGGAUCAAAAUUUGAGGAGAAAAAAAAGAAGAGAAAUGAAGAAAAAUUGAGAGAAAAUGAUCUUUCAUAAUUGUCGCCCUUUUUUCCGUUUUUCAGAAGUAAAGAGAAAUGGAGUAGAAGGAAGAUAAAGUUAUUCUCCCUUCUUCCCUCCUUAGUCGAAACAACACAAGAGAAAGUUACUUCUUUUUUUUUUUCCAUGUCCUAUUCUCUUCAUGGAAAUGAAGCAUUAUUAUAAAACAAUUCCACACAUACCUUGUUUUUUUUUUAGGAAAGAGAGAGAGAGAAAGGUAGCAUGCUACCGACUUCGUUUAUUUUUUAAAAAAAUAAACUUAGUUAAAAAUAUAAAUCAACUAGGAUUUGAAUUUGAAACCUCGGAUAUCAACUGUCAAGUUUUUUACCACUUGCAAUAGGAACGGUCGGUGCACAUAUCUUGUUGAUAGGAGAAGAAAUAGACAUGAACCUUCAAAAAACUAAACCAAUCCCUUAUUAACUACAAAACCUACUUGAUCAUGAUGCAGUUUGAGACAUACAUAUGUAUCAUUACUAUUUCAGCAAGUAUAUCCACCAAAAGGAAAAAAAAAGAGAGAGUACAGUAUCUAUAAUAGGCACAAAAAUGAUCAUUAACCAACUAGAACAUGUACACAUUUCAUUUCUUUUUACUACUCCCUCAUUCAUUUAUUCAUUCAAUACUUUAGAAACUCUACGUCACUCGAACUUAGAAUUAUAUUGAACUUAGGAGCAUUUCGCCAUGCUACAAUAUUCAGCCGGUAGAGAACGGUAUACAACGGCGCUACCUUCAAAGCUUGUCACACUGAGCGGGAGCAAAAGACAACUUCUCGUUCUCCAAGUCGUAGAGCACCUUCAUGUUUUGCUGCUGUAUAUUUCCGAUGACGGAGCUAUCGCCGUUGUUGGCUAUGUUGACGCACAGCACGCGGUCGCCGUUCUGAAACAUGUAGUUCUCCUUCGGCAGGUCCAUGUUGGCGCCCAGAAAAUGGAAUACGAGCUGCGGCACCUUCACCGACGCCGUGUCGUUCGUCGGCGUCUUGAAGCAUAGCCCGAACGACCCCGUCUUGUCCUCGACCACCGGGAGCUUCACGUAGGACUUGAACGCCUUCGCCGCCUUCUUGUACGCGACGUUGACGAGCCCCGUGACUUGCGUCCCCGAGUCGACGAUCACCCCGCCGGUGCCGUCCUUCCUCAGCUCGAACGCCGACUUCGGUAUCUUGAGCCGGUUCUUGCCGACCGUAAUUCCGAGCAGCGACACGUAGUAGAAGGUCAGCACGCUCGGGUUCUGGAGCAGCGGGGUGGUGAGUAUCGGGCCGCCUCCUAAGUUGUCGGCGAGCGGGCCGAAGAAGAGGGUGCUUUGCUUGGACUGGAGUAGGGGGGUGAAGCAGUAGGCGAAUUUUCGGAUGCCGAGCUGGGAGAUGAGCGAGAGAGGGUUGCGGCCGAAGCCGACGAUCCCCGACCCGCCGUUCAGGUCGCCCCAGUUGUCGUGCCCGCAGCCAAAGCCGAGGCCGGGGACCCGGACCUUCGCGACCGAGCCGAAGGUGAAGGUCUCGGUGGCGAGGGCGCCGAUCGACGACGUGAGGUCGCCAUAUCUGUAGAUGUAGACGCAGUGCUGCUGGUCCGCGCUCAAGAUGCUAUUGUCGAUCUCCAGGGCCUGACACAGCUUGCUGGCGUAGGGCAGGUCCGAGUAAGUGGAGGACUUCGAGGGGUCGAAGAGAUGCGCCGGAACCUGGUAAGCCGUUCGUACUAUUUGAAUGCAUGAAUAUUUUAUUCUAAAUAUUCUUUAAUUAUACAUCCAAAACAGAUAAGAUAUUCGGCUUAUCAAAUUAUUAUUAUCAGGUAACUUUUUCUAGUUGUUUAAGUUUUUUUUUUACUCAAUUAAUAUAUAUAUAUAUUAUAUAGUUGUGUGGCCUGCGAUCGUAACAUGUGAUAAAUUGAUUAUAGGAGUUCUUGAAAACUCAAAAGCUCUAACAAGUGAUAUCAAAACAAAUGUUAAAUUUUUAGCGAAUUAAUUCGGAUCGUUUUCUGAACACAACCUUGAGGCACUUGAUGCAGGGUUUGCAUUGGGUCCAGAUGAGGUCGCUGCCGGUGUCUAGUAUCACCGUAAAGGGCAGCGGCGGCGUGCCGAUGGCUAAGUCCAUGAGGUACUCGCCCUCACCGGGGCUUACCAGAAUGUGGGAUUUCGUGAGUGUGGUAGGGUCGACGCCGCCGCUGGCGGCGGCUUGCACUCCCAAGAGCCACAUCGCACGAGCCUGGCUCCGGCGGGCUGCGCGGCAGAGGAGCUCCGGCUUGGUGAAGUUGCGCCCGGCGUCGACGUGGGUUAGCUCAAUGCGCAAGUCCAGAAAAGCUGCAGAUGUGGUGACAAAAAUCAGGAAGCUUAUUAG
rnacentral:lncRNA from 1 species